AUCUUCUUUCCAUUACAUCUUUAAAAAAAACCCUAUUUUCUUCUCCAUUGAGAAAAUAGCAGCCAUUCUCUCCUAAUCCAAAAUUCCAAGCAAACAUUGAUGUUCUCUUCUUCUAUUUCAUCACAACUAUUUUAAAAAAAAAUUUCUGAAGCAUGGACAUUGUAGGAGACAACAUUGGGAUACAGCUUGUGGAGAUCUUCAACUGUUCCCUUGACAAGCUGUAAGAGUAACUCAAUCAAGAAUAUGUUUAUAUGUAUGUAUAUGAACAAAAUUGUUGCUCUACGCUUGUAGUUCAUAAUAGUAAAUUAAUUGCUAGAUAUCUCAACUAAACAACCUGACGAUAAAGUCUGUGUUUCUUACAUCAUGCGACUAAUGAGAGACUUAACUAUGUCGAACGAUCCAAGAGUUUAUCUAGAGAAGUAUUGUUAUGGCCAAAAAACAUACUCAAUGGAUGAGAUCAACGAAGUGCGUGAAGAAUGUGUCUCCUACUUAACUUAGUAUAUAUGCCAUGAUUUAUAUUAAACUUUAUUAAGUAUGUAAGAUUAAUUAUACUUAUUGUCAAACUUUUGAACUAAUUACAAUAUAUAUUAUUAUGUAAUAUUUUAUUAUAUUAGAAAAUGAAUUACAUA